CCCUUAGAUGUUCUGGUCCGCACGCGUGCUACACUGAGUGGAUCAGCGGGUCAGCUUGCGCGAAAGCGUUUCCUAAUCUUUAAAUCCGCUCGUUAUGGGGAUUGACGGUUGCAAUUUUCUGUCAUGAACGAGGAAUACCUUGUAAGCGCGGGUCAUCAUCCCGCGCUGAAUACGUCCCUGCCCUUUGUACACACCGCCCGUCGCUCCUACCGAUUGAGUGGUCCGGUGAGGCUUUGGGAUCUGGGCGGAAAGAGCGUUUCGCUGUUUCUGCUCGGAAAACUCAGUCGAACCUUAUCAUUUAGAGGAAGGAGAAGUCGUAACA
rnacentral:rRNA from 1 species